rnacentral:lncRNA from 1 species
CCUGCUUAUAUGUAUUUUGUUAGUGGAGCUCUACUGCUCCAGGGAUCAAAAGAGCAUCUUAUGCUCCCUUUUCAAAGUGGCAUGUCUUGACUCUAUUAAGUGGUCCUAUCGGCCACUAUACUUGUGCUGCCAAAUAUCAUCUUUGUUGUUUAUAGUGUAUGAUCUAUGGAUAUUUAAUCGCAAGCUAGUGUGGAGUGUUCCACCAUGAUGACCAAUCACUCUACAAUUGAAGAAAGUGACCAUGUUAUAGUGCAUGCUUUAUCUUGCACCCGGUCUAAUGGUCGAUAGCGUGGUCCUGUUGCCAAGCACCACACCAGUUGUUGGUGUAUUGGAGACAACAUGGUGUCCAGCAAUCCAUUUUCCCCCUUGUGAUGUGGCCCUCUUUCCCAACACACGCACCCCUUGUUAGGGUUGGACAGCUUCACU